rnacentral:rRNA from 1 species
GGACUUGUAUGACACGGACUCAGUAUUCCUACCGUGAAGACUGCAGGUCGGGACUCAUAGGCUCCAAUCGGGAGAAAGCUGAGCGGGAAGUGAUGCCCGCAGUGGAGGGGACAGAACGGUUAUUCUAGACUAGUACAGCCUCUUUCAGUCGAGGACCGUUAGGGAAUAGUAAACCGUACUUGCAGAAGGAAGCAUCAGGCUAACUACGUCACCAGCAAGCCCCGGUAAUAUGUCCGGGUGCAACCGUUGUCGGGAUUUAUUGGGCGUAAAGAGCUUUGUAGACUGUUUGUCGCGUAAGAUGUGAUAACCCAAUGACUUAACCUUGGGCGUACUUUCGAUACUGACAAACUAGAGUGCGGUAGAGGAGACUGGAACUGAUGGUGUAACAGUGGAAUGCGCAGAUAUCAGGAAGAACACAGAUGGUAAAUGCAGGUAUGUGCACCAUAACUGACGGUGAGGAGCGAAAGCGUGGGGAGCGAACAGGAUUAGAUACCUUGGUAGUACACACCGUAAACGAUGGGCGUUAUGCGUGCGGAUUGUUUCCACGAUCUCCGUUCGGUAGCUAACGCAUUAAGCGUCCCACCUGGGGAGUACGGCCGCAAGGCUAAAACUCAAAGGAAUUGACGGGGGCCCGCACAAGCGGCGGAGCAUGCGGCUUAAUUCGAUGCAACGCGAAGAACCUUACCUGGGC